rnacentral:lncRNA from 1 species
GACUUGAUUUGCAUAAACUUGACUAACCUCUUUCUCUUAUCUCAAACAAGUUUAUGCACUUCAAGUGUGUUGUGCCUCACAUUUUCUCUCUUAUAUCUUAUUUGAGGAAGUGUUGUCAUCAAUCACCAAAAAGGGGGAGAUUGAAGAGCAUGUAGGCCCCUAAUUCGAUUUUGGUGAUUAAUGACAAUAUGAUCAUUGCGACUAAUGUG